AGCGAUUGGGCAAGAGGGAAAAGGAGAUCGGGGGUCACGCCACACGCAUCCUUCUCUCCCCUCCUCUCCCCCAGAAACGAGAACUGCUUCUCGUCAUUCCCAAUCCGACCGCCGCCGCCGCCCCAACCCCAACCCCACUGCCGCCCCAAUCCGACCGCUGGCGGCCUCCUCCUCCCCUAGAGCCGCCGCUCCAGCCCUUCACCUUCUAUCUCUAUCCCAACUCUAUUCCAAGGGAAGGAAAGCCCCGUAUCACGCGACAAGGUGAGGGGGCGCCCAGAUCCGCAGCGGCACCACCGCGCCCUCGUCUACCUGGUCCUCGUGGUCGGCCAUGGAGGUCUGACCCGACCCAUGGAUGGAUGGGGGCGAAACCCUAGCCCCACACCCACCCAUGGAUGGAUGGGGAUCGGGCGACGACGGCGGCGGGCUUUUCUCGGUGCUUGCUGAUGUGGUGGCCCUCGACGCCGGUGAUGGGUUGCAGCACGUAGACGCUAAAGACUGCGGGUGUGAUGGAGGAGCACCAUGGCGGGCGUGCAGGCCAUCUUUCCCUACCAAAAUUUACGGGCGUGGCGUCAUGACCGGGCGCAGAAGAAGGUAUGGCCCGCAUCUCUCUGUAGGUUGUACUUGGGGAAAAAACUGUAGCUCGCGUGGCGAGAUGCUCAUUACCAGUAGUCAUAGCUGCAGUUUUGGUGCGUCAAGUGGUGGAUACAUUGUUGGCUUGAAUUUUCAUGUCCCCUGAAGGUUCUAAGUGAGUGCUGCAUCAAAGGGUGUUGUUGUGAUUUCCUCGAGGAAUAUUUAGGAUGACAAUCGUUACAAUGCUGGGAGUGGGGCACAUCUUAUGUUCAAGAGGGCCGAGAAAGAUCGGAUUUUGGUUGACAAGAUUCUGGGAAUGGUAGAUGUUUUGACCACGAAAAUCAUAGCUUCGAAAAUGGAAGAGGAAGAGUUCACAUGAUAUGAUGGCGUACUCCUUCUCUCAAUGCUGGAAGAAUACCUGAUCGUUUGGCAGGACGACAAAGAACAGGAAAGAAAACACAAAGGGAUCAGAAGAAGCUCCAGGAUUAACUCAAACCUGAGCAGGAAGCUCUCUACGGUUCAAGAAAAAAUUCAUCCAAGACUCAAAAGUAUAAAGAAGUCACCUAGCUAGACACUCAAUUGGUGGUGUAAACCGUAGGGUGUCCAUUGGUGGAGCCACGAUGCAAGCACCCAGAACAGACGUUGUAUUCGAAGAAUGUUCAUGCUGCUAAGAGAAUUGAAGACAUUGCCCGUUUGUCCCCUGGUAAGCCCCUAUCGGUUUCAUAGCUUUAGCACGAGUCUCGAGAUUCACAAUGGGUGGAGCAUCAGAAAAUUAGGGAAAAUAUAAACUCUCUGAAAAAAUAUCGUAUAUUCAGACAUAGAGGCCUGGAUGUGGUAGAUGUUACAGAUAUUAAAGAUAAGUGAACUUCUUAACCAUGUUUUAAUUUAUUAUAAGCAAACAAGUUUUUCUAAUUUACAUCCAACCAUAUUUAGUGGGUUUUAACUAUAGUUAAUUUCUGACAACCAGGCUGUUGUUACGCUUUUCUAGAAUUUGUACUAGGCUUGGGCUUACAGAUUUGUUGAUGAACUUGACUCUAAUGCUUAUACCACUUACCUUGCAGAAAGGCUUUGUUUUAUUGGUGUUUAACCAUCAUCGAUGUAGAGGCAUAAAUGUUCUUGGAAGAUGUUGCUUGAUUUUUGAGCCCAUGUGCUAUGCUAAUAUUUUGUUUGGUGCUUUUUGUGUUCUCCACUAGAAUAACCAUAGCUUGGCUUUCCUGAUGUUAUUGCUCUGAAGUGUCUACCUUGGUUAAAAUCACUUUGUGUUAUCUCAACUUUGUGUUGGUUUCAUGCCAAAUCCUACAGAGCUUUGAUGAUGUUAUGUGCCAAUUUUCUUUUAGAAUUAUACUCUCCUUAAUGUUUGAUAUUUGAUCCUUAAUUAGUAUCUACUCCCCAUGAUUCUGUUGCUACUGGAAGCAUCGCCUUGAAUGUCGUUUAGCUUCGAAAGGGAAAGGUUCCAAUUGGGUUUUUUAUUACUGUUAGAGGGUAGGAUGUUCAACCGUGCAUUCAAUUUUUUUUCUCUGACUCUGUAUUGCUUUACUAUUGCGUGAAUUAUAUUUUUAUCCAGUUUUGCUCCUCUUGAUGAUUGGAAGUUAGCAUUGCUCCUGUUAGAGCAACAGUAUACCAAAGCAAGAUCCAACCGAGCUAAGGAUGCUCUCUCUUGCUUUCCCAACAACUUCAGAAGAGAUUUUUGGAUCAGGUAUCAGGUCCAGAGCCGAUGGAGAGAAGCAACAUCAUGAUGCUGCUAUAUCUUAGUGGUCUUUCUUUCACAAUGGUGAUCUGCUUCUUAUCUGUUCUAGGUGUCACUGUCAUAGCUUGCUUGGCAUAACCUUCCUUCUUUUGAUGGUUGUCAACACACAUUUAAGUCACACACACACCAUACAAGAUGCAGAGCCUUUGGUAUAUGCAGCCGCACUCCCUUGCCGCCACCUGCUACUUCAAGUCCGUCGACGGCCAUGUUGGAAACUAGGGCUUCUCCAUAGCCCGCCUCAAUCUCCACCUCGCCCUCCUUGCUGGUAUACAUGCAUCUCAUUCAGUCUGUUCGUUGUACAACUUGUAGUGUCCACAAUUCAGAAGUAGGAGUUCACAGAAAACUGCUUCUCUGAAUCACUCAUCGUUCAGUUUCGUUCUCUUGUGGUUAAUUCAAAGAUCCAUUGCCAAAAAUGUGAAUAUGAGUGCAAAUAUGCUUGUCUUUUGAACUCUGGAACUGUUGCCUAUACAUGCCUAUUAUUGCUGAAUAUGAUGGAAAUGUGGAUGUUUAAGAGGGAGUAUUUAUCAGGAAGCAGCUUAUAGGACUUCCAAUAAGCAAGAAGUUUCAUAUAAUUUUCCUGUAUGCAAUAGGAUGAACUUUCAUUUUAUUGGAAGGUGCUAUAGUAUAAAUUUCAAAGACCCACUUCAGUUGUUGCUGUUAUGGAUUUAUAAAUCUUAAACACAACAGUCUUUCGGUGAAUACAUCUAUUGUAUUUUGGUGAAUAAAAUGCGUCAGACAGAUCCCCACUCUUCAGCAGAUCUUAUAUAACAUUCAAAUUGUCUAUUAGCUAGAUUAGUUUCUCACUGCACUUUGUUUCAAUUUUUUUAGUUUGGAUCGAGUGUGAAUGUAAGGAAGAUAUUGUUGUCACAUAGUAAUAAUCCAUCUAUGAGUUACUAGGAGGUAUCUCAUGCAUGUUGAUUGUGCUUCAAGGUACAGUAGUUUGUAGCAUACAAAAUUAGUGGUUCGCCAUGUUGACCCAACUGUGUGAAUUCAUACAACCAAAACUAGGAACAAAGUUUGAUUCGUAGGUAGCUGAAGAAGCGAACAACUUCUGUUCUUUGCAUUGCAGGUUUCCUAUGUUCCAAAAAUUGAUGUGUAUUCAGGCGUGCUAUGUGACGUGUUGAGAGAAUAUGAUGGGAGGAGGAGACACAACACUCCACUCCACUUCCUAUUAUUGCCAUCACGUUGUUGCCACACUUGGGCUGGUUCUAUUGCGCAUGCUUCUUGCUAUUUGGAUUGCAUCGUUCUUAUUAUUUUUAGGUUAGCCAUCGUUUGAAUUGAUAACAGGACAAUGUUAUCAACUCUUUCUUGGCGAGGAACAUAUUUUUGCAGGCCAGGAGGAAGCUUGAGAACUUGCCACCCGAUCUCGCCAGGGCGAUGAGAUGGAGGCCUGCUCACUGCUGCUCUGCUGUUCGCUACACUUUCAAGGCCUCAGGGAGCACCGCCUUACUGACGACCUCUUCCUCAACAAGCUCGUCGUGGAGUGCAUCGUCGGGUCAACUCCAAUGUCCUUUAUUUUGAGAAUUCAUCAUUCACCACCCUGUAGACAGAUCGUUGCUGACCGUCAUUGCCACCUAUAUAUACUCAAUGUAGUGUGAUUCUUAAGGCCGUCAGAGUCGUACAUACGUCGAUGUAGUGUGCUUCUUAUGCCGGUUUUGGACAGUAUCUACAAAGUGUAUGCUAUGAUCAAAACUGGCGUCCCCUUCCUUUUGAACCAGCUAUACAGUUGAUUGCUACUAAACCAAAUUUAAUCUACUUUUAGCUCUAA